UCAAGAGUGGGACGCUUAACCUACUGAGCCACCCAGGCACCCCUGAAGAAGUAUUUAUUGAGCAACUACUAUGUUGCAAGAAUUCUGGAUGAGAGAUGUAAAAUAACUGCCCGGUGGGGGGGACUUGCAUUCUUCAGGAGAAAGGAGCCUACACACAGCAGGGAUUGUGCAGAGAACAAGUUUAAUUUGCUAUUAUUAUGAACUUCCGCUGGAUAGUGUCUCCGUGGAUGCGGCAGAAUUCCAUUUGCUGUGCUGCUAACACUCAUCAAGCUCAUUGUUGCGAUGUUCCGGACACUGUUACCUAUCGUGAUUGAUUCCUUUCUCAGUCCCAGCCUCGUGUUCACCAGAAUGAGCACACUGAUGCCUAAAGAGCAUGGUGGAGUAGAAGGGGCAUCCGCUUUGGAAUCAAACAGACCACAGACCUGGUUUUCAACCCCCCACUCUGCCACCUUGGGGAUCAGCAGGUCUCACCCUGUCUCAGGAAGACGUCAGGGGUCAGCACAAGGCCAGACUCCGAGUUGAUGAGUCACUCUGGGAGAAGGCCAAUCGCAGGAUGAAGGUCUGGUUCCAUUAAAAGCAGGCAACGUGGUGGAAAAACGUAUUUUGGAGAAAGCAGUAGAGGGGUGAGGCCAACAAACUUUGGUUCUUCUCCAAGCCAGUACAUCUGCUAUGGCACCCGUGGAGAACCACUGAAAGGUGUGGUGAAAAGCUAGAGCCCACAUGCAUUACUGCUCCUUCUUUCCCACACGUCACCACCACCAUUACCUCUAUUACCACACCUCUCCACCGUCAUCACCGUCUCUGCCCCUACCCCCCAUCACCUCCACUAGCUUCCCUCCAAUGCCAUCACAUUAUUUGGCAAGUACCAUUCUAGGAGCUGUGUUUCCUUUUCAUUUAAUUUAUUUAACAUGAGCUGUUUUCUUUAAUAACGAGGAAACCAUUAGAGACGUCGGGCAACAUGACCAAGGUAUAUGUCUUGGAGUCACAGAGUUGGAAUUCUCACCCAAGCCUGUCUAAUACUAAGGCUGUGCUCUCGACCACUGUGACAGACCGAAGAUGCCCCUUAGGGCUGAAGGGUAGAGUCCAGAUGAACAAACCACAAAGCAAAGGCCGAUCCUACUCCAUCCCACCAACAGCCACUCCUCUCUGCUCACAUGGACGUUCAGUGACACCGUAGUACUCUUUAGAAUCAUGGUGAUUAUUAUCCUUCUUCUCCCUUGGGGCCAUGGCUCCCUUCCUCAUUUUCACCAGCAAGAGGCAGUUGCCACGUCCCUUCUAUUGUAAAUCAUCAUGGCCAUUCUUGCCUUCCUAGUGGGUCACUGUGACCUCUGCUUGAGGAUUUCAGGGAAAUACCAAUUUCUUUCACAAAAGCUCCCCAACAUCUAGCACAGCAGGAGACGUAAGCCAAAUCUUAACGUGUGACCGAACGAAGUGCAGGACCACCUGCUAGCCCCAUGUGCCCUAGGCUUAGGACACACAGCACUGGAAAGGCCACCCUUCCAAGAAUCCCAGGCAUGUGUUCCUUCACAAGAAGAUUAGAGGCCAGGGGAACACAGGUGAGUCAGUCAUGAGCUACAAAGAGUUAAUAUUGGAGCAGACCUGGCAAGGAGGUAAACAGUCUGUCGAAGGUUCCUGAGUCUUUUCUCUGCCUCUGCCAGCACCGGAGCAAUGGCUCAGCCAGGUAGCCGUCUCCUGUUGCUGGCUUGGAAAAUUUUCCAGGGGACUCUUCGAGCAUUAGCAUCUUGGAAUGAACCUGAUCCCAGUUAAAGAACCAAAUGUCAGAAAAGCUGAACAUAAAUCUUGCUUAGGGUAAGGAUUCCUUGACAGAUUUUUUUUUUUUUUUCACUAGGGUUACAAGAAAGAAAAGGCCAGCCUGAUUCUAUGAGCCAUGAUCAUAGUACUUCUCUUUCUGGAAAAAACUUGUGGUUGCAGAGGUUUUCUGUUAUUUGAGCUCCUGGAAACUGUCUAUGGCUGUGGGUCCUGCUCCCACAUCGGGGUGCUGGUUCCAUGGGACACUCCCUGCAGUAGACAGGCAGCGUUAGUCUAUUCUGUCAAAUGAGGUGCAGCUGUAUUCACUGCUUAUAGUGAAAUUCACAGGAAGUUAAACCACAAUCCGUGUUACAGAAUCCAUUCCAGGCAUUUGCAUUUUGCAAUAUUAAAGCAGGUAAAGUACAUCCUCGGGGUCUUCCACCCCCAGCUUCCAGAAGGCCAAUCUUAUACUACUUAUAACAACUGCAGCAGCUAACGUUUAGAGAGACCUUACUCUGCCCUGUUUUACAUCCAUAAUCUCACUAAUCCUCGUGACAAUCCUAUGAGAUACAUACUAUCCCCAUUUUAUAGAUGAAACUGACCCAGAAGGGUUCCAAAGCUUUUCUAAAUUCACACCGAACGUAUGUCAGAACAAAGAUGUGACCUUCAGGCUGUUGGAUUCCAGGGAUCCUGCUACUAACUUCUGGGUAAUGAUACCUCUGGGUAAAAUAAAAGACACUGAACCCCAGUGGGAUUGUUGCUU
ensembl:lncRNA